UUAAUGGUAAACAACUUGAUGUACAAAAAGACGGAAGAAAACGGAAAACUAAUGCUAACGGAGAAAAGGGAGAGAAGAAUAUGGUUAAAUUGUACAAAGACGAAUGGUUCUAGCUACAGUCGACAGGGGAACAAGGUUUGUAAUGUAUAUGAUUUAAUUUGAGCAAUCUGAAAUGCAUAAUAUGUAUUAUAUAGUUUAAUAGAAAACGGUUAGACCAGCGCAAUGAGCAGUUAAGACGGUGUUACAUGAAUAAUAUGGUAAUUGUUUUAUUUGUUUGUCUAGCUCUUACGUUGGUUCGUUGUCUGAUACACGGCAAGGAAUAAUAAAGGUCAUUCAACAACCAUCAGUUCUGGCCUUCUCAGUUCGACUGGAUGCUACAACCUGAAUAUCAAAAUUCUUGCAAUAAACAUUUUUACCUUUGUCCUUUACAAAAUCACAACUGUAGACUGAAAUCUGCUGACAACAUUGAUUGACAAACAAAAUGAACUGCUUGCUGUUGCAGAUCAAUUUAUAGCAAAUUUGACCAGCCUGGUUCAAGACCUUAACAAAUUGGUUCUCUGUUGAGUUUGUGACCAUUUUAAACUGCAUAAAGAAUGAAGUCUUUAAAAGGCGGAGGCUGACUCAUCAACAUAAAACCACAAUGAAAACACUUCCUCAAAUCAAGAGCAGCUUUUUCUUUAGAAAAUAACGUCAAGGCAACUCGUCACAUUUGAGAAACAACAGAUGCCAGGGCACAGAAACUGAGGCACGACUAACCCAUCUCACUGUAAGUUAACCUCAUGGCAGAAGAAUUAGAGCUUUCUGAGUAUUCCACCAUACAUGACCUUGGGGGAAAAAAGGUCAAAACUGGAACAAGCAGCAUCAACUCUGCUCAAUCAGAAAGAAGACUCCUGAGGAUGGGGAUUGUAACUUUAGGAGUAUUGUGUAUCUUACAAGCCAUCCUCAAUAUCUCCCUCCACCUUGCCGUUUAUUCAAAAGAGGAUAUCAAUCAGUUUCCUUGCAACACCUCUGUGAUAGAAGACAUGUGCCAGACCGAGCAAUUUCAGUCGAAUUCAACCCACUUAUGUUCCUGCUGCAACAACCUGCUGCAAAGCCUACUGAGAGAAAGAGACCUCUUGCAAGACAAAAUCAGUCAGUUUAGCAGAGGUAAACCUGGAGAUGUUGACGAUAUGCAGAUCUUUGGAUCUGGUUCCAAUUCUUUAGAUUUCUUGUUAGUUUGAAGAUGAACGCAGACAACAUUCAGGAAUUUGAAACAAGUCAUUUAAGUCAGACGACUGCAUCCAUUUACACACUUUGAAAUCUCUGGUACAAAAACAACAGCCAACCACAUUUUAAUUAGAUAUAUAUUUUGAAAAAGUCAAGCAGUGAUUAACAGUUGCACUCAGGUAAAUACUUUUAUUAUAUUGUUGCAUAUUUAAUGCAAAAUUUAUUAUGUACAUAUAUUAAUACUUUGCUAAUGGAUAAAAAAAUGACAUGCCACUUUAGUAAUAUGAUAAAAUGUAUUGAAUGGUUGUGUAUGUGAAAGAUGACGUUUUUAGUGACAACAUGUGCUCAGUUUAGGUUUUGGCUGGUGGUGUAUUCAGAAACCCAAAGAACAGAUGCUUCUACCAGUAGGUGGUAGAGACCCGACCCAAGCUGUGUUAAAGAAUAUUGGAUUUGCAUGUAUGUGUGGCCAACAAACACACUAAAUAACAGCAAAAAACAAUGUUGACUAUUUUGUACUACCAGAAUUUAGAAAGUGUUUUUAAUGGAACUUGCUAUAUCAACUUUAAAUGUUAUUGUUACUCUGAAUGAUGAUAAUACAUUUUUUUUUGUUUUCACAUAACUGAAAUUUUGUAUAAUAAUGAGUUUUCAAUGGCCGCUCAAUUGACAACAGUCUUAUAUUUGAUAUAAUUUAGCUUAUAUUUAGCUUGAUUUUAUGUUUAUCUCUGAGACAUGGCAGCAUGAAGUCUCACAUCUUUUAGAGCUAUGCACUGCAGACUGUUCAUUUUUCUGUGAACUUCAGAUCUCUGGACGAGAAGGUGGAACAGCUGUGAUUUUUAAAAAGACAUUUUUAUGCCAGAUGAUCUCUUCGAGCUGUUACAGCUCUUUUGAGAUAAUUAUGAUCAAAACUGGAAGAGAUCAACCGAUGUAUGGUAUUUCAAUUUAUGGUCCACCUGGGUCUGCAGCAUCUUUUCUGUCAGACUUCUGCUAUUAAGUUGGGCAAGGUCAUCAUUGCUGGGGACUUCAACAUUCGUGCAGAGGACCCAUCAAAUAGUACCACUAGGAAUUUCCUGAACAUUAUGGACUCUUAAACUUUUAAACUUUUUCCCAAGUUUGUAUUAGGUACAGGCGCUUUAUUGAUAGCUAUCAUUUCUAAGUUUUCUUUUUAAUUUCAUAACUUUUUGUGACCAUGUUGAGCUCCUUGUUAAGUCUUGUAUUGAACCCUGAUAGCCACUUUUAAUCAGAUCGCUCCUCACAAAACCACAGUAGUCAUUGCUCUGUCAGUUCCUGCACACCCUGGUUAGAUAAUCAAACUUGUGAUCUUCGACAUUCCCGUCAAAGAGCAGAACAUCUGUGGAAGUCCACGGGUCUAAGUUUCCAUCACAAAUACUUUGUAGAGCUUCUUCACAUAUAUAAUGAGUCAGUGAAAGAGGCUAGAUCCUCUUAUUUCAAUAAUCUCAUACAUUUCCAUAAGAAUAAUCCAAGGUAUUAUUUGAGACUAUCAACAAGAUUGUUUCCCCUCCAACCCAGCAUGCUAUGUUCUUUUCUGACGAUGAUUGCAAUACAUUUCUCAAUCACUUUGUAAAUAAGGUGAUGGGCUUAAGAUCCAAAAUCUCCUCAAGUAGCUUCCCUUAUGAUGGUCCUCAGUGCCCUGGGUCAUUUACUUUUCUUUCCCUCCAAUUACACUUAAUGACUUAACUACAGUAAUAGGUAAAAUGAAAUUCUUGUCAUGCUCCUUAGAUACAUUACCUGCUUUUCUCCUGUCUGGGACUCACCAGCAUUGGUCCCACAUUGCUGUCUAUCAUGUGGAACUGAGGCAAAGUUAUGUUCCAUCGUAUUCGAAUGUUCAUCCCAACUUUACUGGUAAUUAUUGGCCUAUUUUCAAAAUUGUCACUUAUAAGCAAAUUAUUAGAAAAACUUGUAGAAAAUCAGUUCAGAUCUUUACUAUGCAAAUUAAAGAUUUGUUACCUUUUUCAAUCUGGCUUUCAAAAGCAGCGCUCCACUGAGAUCGCCCUCUUGAAGGUUUAUAAUAAUCUUUUAAUGGCUUCUGAUGCAGGGAAUUGUUCUGUAAUCAUAUUGCUUGAUCUCAGUGCAGCCUUUGAUACAAUUGAUCAUAAAAUCCUACUUAAUAUGCUGAAUGUUCUGGCUGGUGUAUCUGGCUCUGCCUUAGACUGGUUUUCUUCUUACUUAUCUGACAGGACCUUCUCUGUUAGAACAAACAAGUUCACCUCUAUCAUAUCCUCCCUAACCUGCAGGGUUCCACAGGGUUCAGGUUUGCAUACAUUAUUUUCUUUCUAGGUGCUUCUUCUUUCUCGCUGGCAUUUUUCAAUCUUUUAGUGACAUUUCUUAUCAUUUCUGUGCCGAUGACAGUCUUUUAAGCCUCAUUAGCUGGAUAGGCUGUCCAGCUUAGUCCACUGGGUAACUCAGGUUACUGAUUGGCUCGCUAGCAAUUACCUUGUUUCAAUCACUAACAAACCUUAGACCAUGAUUAUAGCUCCUCCUGAAAUACAUUCUUAAAUCAGUCGGGUUCUUGCUUCUUUUUGUUCAACUACUAACACCAACAUUCAAAAUCUUGGAGUAAUAUUUGAGUCUUCUUUGGGCCUUGACUUGCAUAUAAAAUCUUUGUCUUGUUCCUGUUUCUUUCAUUUAAGGAACAUUUCAAAAUUGCGACAUAUUGUCGCCUCAGCUGAGCUGGAAAAAAUAGUUCUUGCAUUUGUGUCAUUGCAUUUAGAUUAUUUUAAUGCUCUGUUUACCAGCUUGGACAGAUCCUCUCUGUCAUGAGAUUUUUAACAUAUAUAAGUUUAUUUACUACUGUUUACUAUAAGCUCAUAUUGAUGUGUUCAUAUAUUUCACAAAUAUGCUGUACUUUUCAUUUUUGUGCACACUGACAUUUUAACUCUGUAUGUUGAUGAAGGCCAGAGACAGCGACCUAACCACAAGAGAUUAAAUCUCUAACAGCAGUUCCCGAAAUUAGACUACACUCAUAUGACCCCACACAAACGUACACACACUCAGUCACAGGAAGUUUUUAACAGAACAUGUAUUAAAGGAAGAUGAAGGUAUUUGCCAUACGCAAUGUGUCUUAUAAAUAAAGAGCUAUCGCCUGCACUCGGUGUGAGUGUCUCCUGAGAGCCGCUCACCCGUGCACGUUGCUAUUUUAACAGAA